UUUUUAAAUUUUGUAAAUUUCGAGAAGUGUGCAAUUUUCCGUGGAUGAUAUAUACAGGCCGUACCACAACACCAGUCGCCGUUUCACAGAGCAGCUGAGAAAUUACGAAUCGACGAUUGAAAGAAAGAGAUGGCGAAGACGAAGCAUCAAAAAUCCAAACCAAACAAACAAUCUCAUUCUAAAAAGCACGGAAAGCAGGCUGAUAUUUCAGAAUUUCGAGCUCAACUUGAUGCAUUGGGCUUAAAGAUUAUUCAAGUGACGGCAGAUGGAAAUUGUUUCUUCAGGUCAUUAGGUGAUCAGUUGGAAGGCAAUGAGGAGGAGCAUGAGAAAUAUCGAGAUAUGACUGUAAAAUUUAUCAGGAAUAACCGUGAUACGUUUGAGCCUUUUAUUGAAGAUGAUGUACCAUUUGAUGAAUAUUGUGAGUCCAUGGAGAAGGAUGGCACUUGGGCUGGACAUAUGGAAUUACAAGCAGCUUCUCUUGUUACUCAUACCAACAUAUGCAUUCACCGACAUAUGUCACCUCGCUGGUACAUACAGAAUUUUGACAACCGUGAAUCUCGGAUGCUUCAUCUUUCUUAUCAUGACGGAGAGCAUUACAAUAGCAUCCGGCUGAAGGAAGAUUCUUGCACUGGAGCACCUAACCCAAUUAUUAUCAAGGCUGAUGCUGAUCUUUCAGCAAAAUCUCGUGAAGCUAUAGCUGCUGCCAAGUCUAAGGGAGACACUGGUCGAAUUAUGGUUCAAGUAGGAUCAGUUAAAGUGGUUAUGGCUGGAAGUGGGUGUGAUAACAGCGAAAAAGUGGAGCAGGUUUUACGACAAGUUGGUGGUGAUGUUGAUGCUGCAACAGAAUUUCUAAUCGCAGAACAAGGAUCCGAGGACCAGUUAAAUGCAAAUGAUAACUUUUCUUGUCUGGAAAGCACUUCACAAGGGUCUCCAGGAGAGCCUGAUAUCAAAUCUGGAGACUCACCUUGUAAAAAAGGUUCCUCUGACUGUAGUGUAAAAGGAGCUUCUGAUAAACAUACCUCCCAGGAAGAUGAAAAGAAAAUUCCAAGAAAUAAGGCCUGUCCCUGUGGUUCAAAGAAGAAAUACAAGUCUUGCUGUGGAUCAGUUGCUGGAAAACAUCCUACUAGCUAUACAGUCAGCCAUACAAUUGAUUAUGGAAAGGGUAGGAGAGACAAAAAGCAAGGAAAGAAAGUUCCACCUGUCAAUGUUACGACUUCAAAACAAUCUGAUGCAAGGCCACCGGACAUGGGUGCGCUUUGUAUAUAGUCAGUAUUUUGAGGAACAUCUUUCCCGGAGCAGCCGGGGUGAAGUCAUAAAUUGUUAAGUUGCAAGUCACUGUUGUCCUGAGCUUUGAAAACUGUAAGUUGAGUUGGCUUGGUUUCUUUCCCAGGAAAACACUUUUCAUGUAAGCAUUCAGGCCCCAAGGAUUGGGCCUCAAACCCAGCAAAGCCAGCACUGACAAUUCAAUUGUCCUUUUUAUACCGUUCCUGACAGGUUCGUUUGUGGCUCUUUACUCCAGCCCUAAAUUUGAGUCUUUGGAGAACUGCAAAUAGUAAACUUAAACUAUCAAUCAUAUUGGUCGGCUUGGUGACCGAGGGCUUGCGUGGAGGCGGCAUUGAGACCACGGGCUUGGACACCCGCUACGAAACGGUUUUCCAUGUUCAUACCAUUUUCUCCUCUGCUUUAGAAUGUUGAUGGGAUGCCACAACUUUCCUAUGGCUGGCUUGCAAACAUGAUUUAUGGAGGCUUGAUCUCAUAAAAUACCUUAUUUUAUAUUUCGUAGUUGCUGAUUAUUCCAUAUACUGCUUUGGAGGACCAUCAGAUGCUACAGUGCAUUGUGAUCCUCAAGGACUUGAUUCAUUGGAAGUGAGAACGUGGAGGAGAGAAUCCAAGAGGAAUUCAAUCAACUGAUUAUUGAUUUGAUUAGUAGGGUGUGGAGGAUCCAUAUUAAGAUAGAAGACUAGUACAUAGUUUUGUUAUUCUUUCUUAUUAGUAAGCGCAUUACAAUUUCUUGUACUUUGAUUUCUGUUAUUAUCUAUUACUGUCUGUACUUUGAUUAUUUUA